UACGUAGGUGGCAAGCGUUAUCCGGAAUUAUUGGGCGUAAAGCGCGCGCAGGCGGUUUCUUAAGUCUGGUGUGAAAGCCCACGGCUCAACCGUGGAGGGUCAUUGGAAACUGGGGAACUUGAGUGCAGAAGAGAAAAGCGGAAUUCCACGUGUAGCGGUGAAAUGCGUAGAGAUGUGGAGGAACACCAGUGGCGAAGGCGGCUUUUUGGUCUGUAACUGACGCUGAGGCGCGAAAGCGUGGGGAGCAAACAGG
rnacentral:rRNA from 1 species